GCCCGGGUGGCUCAGUCGGUUGAGCGUCUGACUUCAGCUCAGGUCAUGAUCUCAUGGUUCGUGAGUUCAAGCCCCGCGCUGGGCU
rfam:Felis catus isolate Cinnamon breed Abyssinian chromosome A3, whole genome shotgun sequence.